GGCCAAUGCAGCUGUGCCAGUAAACUAACACAGUAAAACCACACGACAUAAUCAUCCAAACUACUCCUAGUUCAUCCUUCAAAGGUGCUUCCCUCCUGGAAUCAUAGAAGGUGUUACAGCGCGCACAAGGGACAGGACCCGCCUGUAAACCAUAAGCCUUUGCACACUCUACGCAGGUGAUACGGUUAGCAGAUAUCACAGACUUGCAAGCAUGUUUCUUCUUGCUGUGAUCUUCCAACAAUGCCACGGAAGCAAAUAAGACGUUACCGUCCGUGCAGACGAUGGGAAAAGUCUCGGGGAUCAAACAUCUUCUCACAGGUCGUGCACAUGACGCCGCGAGAAGCAUAUGAAUUUGUCAAUCAGUUGAAAACAAACAUCAAGUAGUCAAGAAAACAAGCCAAACUGUAGCAAUAACGGAGAUCUAUCGUUAUCAUUAUCAAAUCAUCAUUAUCAUUAUCAAUGAACAACAGCCCAUUGGAGAAAGCGAGGUAAUUACCGUAUUUUCAGAAGCAUUACUACCGCCCACCAGAGUGUUAAUGAAGCUGGCAAAUCUUUCCUUGCCUUGCGGAAUAUGAUUUUGA
rnacentral:lncRNA from 1 species